rnacentral:rRNA from 1 species
UACAGAGGUCUCGAGCGUUAGGCGGAAUCACUGGGCUUAAAGCGUGUGUAGGCGGAUCGUUAAGUGCCUUGUGAAAUCCCACGGCUCAACCGUGGAACUGCUUGGCAUACUGGCGGUCUUGAGCAACCUAGGGGCGAGCGGAACAAAUGGUGGAGCGGUGAAAUGCGUAGAUAUCAUUUGGAACGCCAAUGGUGAAAACAGCUCGCUGGGGGUUUGAUGACGCUGAGACACGAAAGCCAGGGGAGCAAACGGG